CUGUGGGGAAGGAGAAUGGGUCUGGAGCACCUGUGAGACCCAAGCCUGGGCCCACCACAACAGAGGAUGCAGCCUCCCAACCCCAAGAGCCCCAGAUUGGAGUCCCUGAGAGAAGCUGGGGUUCUCUCCUCUCAUUUGCUGGACUGACAAAGAGGGCCUGGAGACCUCCGAGGAUAUGGUGGUGACAGGGCCACUGAGGAGGGAAAGUCUGAGUCCCUGAAGAAAACCACAGCCCUAGUGAACGCUGGAAUUACCAAAGCAAGGUCCACUGUCUGGCAGAAUCCUCAGAAAUUUUACC